AUUGAACGCUGGCGGCAGGCCUAACACAUGCAAGUCGAACGAGCGGCGGACGGGUGAGUAAUGUCUGGGGAACUGCCCGAUGGAGGGGGAUAACUACUGGAAACGGUGGCUAAUACCGCAUACCAUCGGAUGUACCCAUAUGGGAUUAGCUAGUAGGUGGGGUAAAGGCUCACCUAGGCGACGAUCCCUAGCUGGUCUGAGAGGAUGAUAAGCCACACUGGGACUGAGACACGGCCCAGACGCCUACGGGAGGCAGCAGUGGGGAAGAGUGCACAAUGGGCGCAAGCCUGAUGCAGCCAUGCCGCGUGUAUGAAGAAGGCCUUAGGGUUGUAAAGUACUUUCAGCGGGGAGGCGUUACUCGCAGAAGAAGCACCGGCUAACUCCGUGCCAGCAGCCGCGGUAAUUC
rnacentral:rRNA from 1 species